rnacentral:lncRNA from 1 species
AUGGCCACACCCAAGGCCUAUGGAGGGUCCCCGGCUAGGGGUCAAAACGGAGCUGCAGGCGCUGGUCUACGCCACAGCCACAGCAGCACAGAUCCGAGCCACGUUUGUGAACUAUAUCGCAGCUCACAGCAACGCGGGAUCCUUAACCCACUGAGUGAGGCCAGGAUCAAACCUGCAUCCUCAUGGAUACUAGUCGGGUUCAUUAACCGCGGAGCCACAAUGGGAACUCUAGGAAGUUUUCUAAUUAGAUACCACUUUCCAUUUAUUUCUAUAGCUCUGGGUUCUGACUUCAGUAGGAAAGGGGUCUGUGUUCAUUGUCCCCCACAGCUGCCUCUGAAGUGGACAUUAGGGGAUAUGCCCUCAUGAGGGUGGUACAGGUUAUUUUGGGAACAUGUUACUAUCUAUGGAAGAGUGGGAACUCAAGUAUAUUCAACUUUGAAGAAAAAAAAAUGUAGUCCCAGCUUUUGGUGUUCUAAGCAAUACCUAUGCUACGAAAUCUUAAUAAGCUUCUGAUCCUUUUCUAUCAGUUAGCUCCCUGUGCCAAUAUUCACACACAGAGUGUUUUUCUAGAUAGACGUCUCAAAUCUGCUGUAUCUUAGUGCCUCCUUCAACCCCACUGCACCUCUCUCUCUACUUACUGGUCAGCUACUUGGAAGCUACAGACUUAGAAGACCAUAACCUCAACUUGAUCUUCAUCACAAAAUGGAUGCAAGGAGUUCGUAUCUCUCAAAGAUGUUUUUUUCCUUUUAUUUCCUGCAUCCAGGAGCAGUAAGAUUUUCUCAGUCUUCAGUGUUUCAGUGUUCUGGGCUUUCUCCAUUCCCUUUUGGUCUGUUUACAAAAUGGCCAUUUUUUCCCGUGAUCUUUUCUUUUCCCUGUAAUCUCUUGCCAAAUGCCUUUAAUAGUAGCCAAAAAUCACUAAGAGUUUUCAUCUUUCCAACUACUUCUAGAUGCCUAUAAAGAGUAGCACACCUAGCUUCUAUGAGUCUAUAAUGUAAUUGGAGAAGUAGAAUAUAUAGAUUUCACUGUAAUUAAAAACAUUAGUUUCAAUAUUUACAUAUUGUCAUUAAAACAUUAGUUUCAAUAUUCACUAAAUGCCUAGUACUUGAUUCAGAAAUUUAGUUCUAUUCCAGUUCAGGGAAGGAAAUAGUCACCAUCUCCAUUCAAACAAUGGAAACCACUGCAGAUUUGUGAGGGAAAGGGCAGCAUAACCAUAAGAGAGUUUUAGAAGACUUCUGGGUAACUAAGCCUUUGAUGUAAGUGAAAAAUGUGAUAUUGAUAGUCUGUAAAUUUAUGCUACACCUCGCCUGGGGCUUUAGCCUCAUUUUGCAAUGAUGUUGGAAUGGAGAAUAUCAACAAUACUUUACAGGCAGAGAUGAUCCAUGCAGUGAUCAGGUUUCUCAUUUAAUCUCUCAUUAGCUAGGAAAUAUCAGAUAGUCUGCUGAGGAAAAAAAAGAAGGCGAUAUUCUUACACCCUGCGUGUGUUUAUAAAUAUCUACUGAUACUUUAAGAUGAACAUUGAAAAUAAUUCACUAAAUGAUAGCUGUAAUGAAGUGUGAAAUAAAUUAUCGUCUUUGUUGGUGAUAAAGAUUAUUGGGCUGGGCAAAAAGCAUAUUUAUCACAUAGCCUUGACAGAACAGACCUGCUAUAAUAAAGGAACUAAAGAACAAACAAGCUGCAAGCCAAACAUAGGAAAUUAAUUUGCUAUUUAAAUCUCCAUGGUAGAUGUGACUAAGACACCUGUCAUCAGGGUCAGAAGGUGCCUUUGAGGACAUUUGGAUUCACAGACAGGAGCUCAGGGAUCCGAUCUAGCAAUGCCAACCUUCAGCUGCUUCCUCGGAGGUAAGGAAGGCACAUUUUAGUGGAGGGGCUUUCUUAGGACUUGGGUCCUAAAUGUGACCACCAUGGAUCAAAAUUCAAUUAUUUUGAGGUUAAAAAAUUAUCCUAGGAGUUCCCGUCGUGGCACAGUGGUUAACGAAUCCGACUAGGAACCAUGAGGUUGAGGGUUCGGUCCCUGCCCUUGCUCAGUGGGUUAACGAUCCGGCGUUGCCGUGAGCUGUGGUGUAGGUUGCAGACGCGGCUCGAAUCCCACGUUGCUGUGGCUCCGGCUCUUACUUAAAAUGAAUUUAUGACUGUAGGUCUCAGUUAAGUAGCAUACAAGUUAAGGCGCAUAUUUUUUUUCUUUUAAGAAUAAUGAGAUAGGAAGAUUGAUAUGCCCACAAUUUCUCUUAGGAAGGGCACUGCCUUUGUUGGAGAGAAUUAUUUACUACACGCCUUGUAUAACAUGGGAGCAGUUCCCUUUUCUCCCUCUGGAGCCUGGGAGUUGUCUCACACUAAGAUGAGAACAUGUGUUAAGCUUUCUGAAUAGAAAG